GCUGGAAUGAAGUACCUCGGACUCAGUGGCUUGAACAACGGAAAUUCAUUUCUUCCAGUCCUGGAAGCCGGAAGUCCGAGAUAAAGCACUAGAUUCCUGGCAGCGGCUGGUACCGAGGUAAUCAACAGUGCAACCAAGGCUUCGGACUGGGCUCUGCAUGGCAUCUUGAUUUUCAUUCAUUGGGCACAAAUGAACUCAUCACAAAGAUUGGCUCCCAGUGGCUGUCACCACCCCUCCCAACCAAGGUGGGGACAUCACUCAGGCUGGCAAGGCUUUUUUGAUGGCAGAUCCUAGAGCUGUCAGAAGGAAUUCCUAUCUCCAGACCAUUUUAACUUGUGAAAAGCACUGAGCAUGAAACAUGGUAGCUGGUAACCAGGGUGGCCUUUCUGUGAAAUAAGCACCUGCUUUCCCCUCAUGGGCCGUUCGGUACAGCAGGAGAUACACAUGCCGAGAUGAGCUGGGGGCCACGGGCUAAACAGUGGAGCUUGGGAGGCUCCCUGAGUCCAGGCUUUAAAACUGGGAGAGAACUUAGAGUUGAACUGGUCCAGCUCCCUCAUUUCUGAUAAGAAAAUUAUGACCAAUAAUGAGAGAAUGUCCAAUAAAUGUCCAAUAAUGAAAGAAUGGUUAAGUAUAGUAGAAGAAUGAUUACAUAAAUAUGGCAAAAUACUUCAAUGCAAGAAAGGAUGAAAAUUCAUCCUAGGUAUAUACCAAGGGAAUGGAAGAUCUAUGUCCACAUGAAAACUUGCAUAUACAUGCUUAUAGCAGCAUUAUUCAUCAUAGCCCCAAAACUGAAAACAAUUCAGAUGUCCUUCAAUGAAUGAAUAGGCAAAGAAAAUGUAAUCUUAUUCUGCCAUAAAAAGGAAUUUUUUGACACAUGCCAUGACGUAGAUGAGCCUUAAAAACAUUAUGCUAAAUAAGCCAGACACAAAAGGCCAUAAAUUGUAUAAAACAUGCAAAAUUUUAUGUGAAGUAUUUGGAAUAGGCAAAUACAUAGAGACAGAACCAGUGGUUGCCAAGGGCUAGGAGGAAGUGGGAAGUGGGGAGGAACUGCUCAUGGGUUUCUUUUGAAGUGAGGUGUUUCCUUUUUCAUGUAGGUGUCCCCCUGCAUGCUGGAGGGGUGAGCCUGUGAGCCAUGGGAGGGUGUGGAGGGAGCAAAAGGUGAAGGGUCAUGGAGGAGUGGACAUCAGGAACUGGGGGACAAGAAGGGUCAGCCGUGUGAGUGGUGCUCACAGGAAGACAGUGGAAGUAAAGGAAAGAGAUUCUUUGAACCUAGAGGCUGAGUCUUCCAUGAACAAGUAGGGAGAUGAGUGGGUCACAUCAGGUCUACUCAGGCCCUGUCGCCCCUGGGAGCCAUGGUGACUCUACUGCACAGUAUUUCAUCUGGGACCAUGGAUUCUUGACAUACAGUUUACAGAUGGGCUUCUAAGGGUGCAUGAGCCCUCCCAAAAUGGUAUGUCAGAUUCUACGUGUGCACGGCUCACAUACAUUCUCUUUCCUUGAAAAAAGCAUUCAUGACUCAUCAGAUUUUCAAAGAGAUGAGUGAUCUAAAAAAUUAAACCAAUCUAAGAAUCACUGCUGUAAAGGAUUUGUGUGAGGAAUAACUCGAUGAAGACAAUAAAAACUGCACAUGGACAUAGGAGGGGCACACAGCUCUUAGUGUGGCCUAGAGUCUCUGUGCCUAUCCAACCCCAGCCCAGAGAGCUGGAGCCUGCAGAGGCGGCAGGAUGGCAAGACCAGAGACACGGAGGGAGGCUGGGCUCUGGAAAUCCACAGGGCACUCCCCAUGGUGCUGAUGAACUCGGCCGGUGACGUCUUCAGGGGGCAGCUGCUACCUAUAUUGCUGAAUGGAAUUUACUGACUUCAGCUGGCCUCUGCGUAAGAACAGACCUUUCAAACGAAUAUAAGGGAAUUUCAAGUAUACAAUACAGUAUUGUUAACUGCAGUCACCAUGCUGUACAUUAGUAACCCAGAACUUACUCAUCUCAUGCUGAGAGUUUGCACCCUUUGACCAACAUGUCCCCAUUUCCCCCACCCCAGCCCCGGGUCAACCACCAUUCUGCUUGCAAGAGUUGGGCUUUUUUACACGCCACAUAAAAAUGAGAUCAUGCAGUACUUGUCUUUCUCUGUCAAACUUAUGUUAAAUGUUCUCACCACAGAUGUGCACACACAUACAAAACACACACACAAAGGGUAACUAUGUAAAGCGAUGAAGGUCUUAACUAACUUGAUUGUGGUCGUCAUUCCACGAUAUAUACAUAUAUGAAAUCAUCGCAUUGUAUGCCUUAAAUUUAUACUAUUGUGUAUGCUAACUAUACCUCAAUAAAGCUGGG
rnacentral:lncRNA from 1 species